rnacentral:tRNA from 1 species
GGAGAUUUAGCUCAGUAGGCUAAGUGCCUGCCUGGCAAGCACAAGGUCAUGAGUUCGAUACUCCUAUCCUCCC